GCCAGGCAUGGGGGUGCACACCUGUAGUCCCAGCUACUCAGGAGGCUGAGGCAAGAGGAUUGCUUGAGCCCAGGAGUUCUGGGCUGUAGUGCACUAUGCUGAUCGAGUGUCCGCACUAAGUUCAUCAAUAUGGUGACCUCCCAGGAGCCCAGGAGCAACAGGUUGCCUAGGGAGGGAUGAACCAGCCCAGGUUGGAAAUGGAGCAGGUCAAAAUUUCCGUGCCAACUAGUAGUGGCAUCGUGCCUGUGAAUAGCCACUGCAUUCUGGCUGGGCCAACAUCACAAGACUCGGUCUCU
rnacentral:SRP_RNA from 1 species